UACAGAGGUGUGCUAAGCCAGUGUGGGGCCGUCCUCUUGCAUCUGUUUUAGGAUCAGAUGCUGAAGAGCAGCCCUGUUGAAAGAGAUUUGGGGGUUCUGGUUGACAGCAUGUUGAACAUGAACCAGCAGUGUACCCUGCCAGCCUGAAGGGCCAACCGUGCCCUGAGGUGUACCAGGUCCAGCACUGCCACCAGAUAUGUUUGUUGAAGCACUGUAUGAUGAAAAUUUUCUCCUGGAGUCAGAAGAAAUGCCUGCUUCCUUCCUUCUGAAGAUGCAGAAGCUGAUGCUCCUCGCUGGGAAUCAGGUCAAUGGAAAAAUGAUGUGCUGGAUGAAACAGGACGCUGACAAGCCUGGAGCAUGUCUCAGUGGAAGAAAAGGAGCUAAUAAUUAUAAGCACUCUCAUUAUUUAGAAAGUACGCUACUCAAAAUGAAUUCAGCUUUCUGAUGACAAGUGAUUUCUCUCACCCCAAGGAGCAUUUCAAAGCAUCCACACAACCAUCUGCAUGAACCCCAGGAGGUGAAGGUAUGGGACCCUCCUUCCAGCUGUGGUGCAGUGAUCCAUCUGUCUGAGCACAUUUCCAUUUAUCCUCCAGGAAGAGAAUGCGCCACCCUCAGGCCUCCCUGAACUGUGAUUUCAGCUGCAAGAGACAGAACAAGGACUGAACAGGGAACUGGGUGAAAUAAAGUCAAUCUAAAUUUGUGGGUUAAUACCUGCAAGGCAUGCCAAUAUUGAUGUGCCAGACAGCCCUUUCCAUCAAAGUGCAGAAUGUGGAUCUGUGAAAGGAGUACAGAGAGCUGCAGAAAAAUCUGAGCUCAGAAACCUGGUGAUACUUCCAGUGGAAAGAUUUCCUUCCGUCCAGCUUCAGCACAGACAGCUUCAGGGACACAUGAAUAUCAGUGGCAGGUUCUGUGAGCACUUGAAAGCCUGAGCUGAUGUCUGAAGGCAGAACUGAAGUUAGGGUUCCCGAUACCUUUCUAGUAGGGAGUUCUGAAUCUGAAAGAUACAGUGGCUUCAGAUCCUACUGCAGAACUGGUCCUCUGUGCACCAUAGCAGAUUCAGUGCGAAGUGAAUUACAACAAUGUUUAUCUGAUUUUCAGUCUGUAAAAUAAAGUAUGCAUAACCUGGGAGAGCUAUUGCUUAGGGCAGUUAGCCAUGCUUACGACUUCUACCAGGUACUGUGGUAGAUCAAAUACAGAGGGUGAACAUGACAUUCCGAUAAGGCUUUGAACUAUAUGCUGUAGCUUAUAAAUUUCAAUGCCAUGGAGCAUGUUUCAGUGCUGUUGCAUACUGAUGCAGUGCUGUGCAGGCAUCACAGAUUAUUUUGCUGAAGUAUAACAGAAUCGUAAGAACAAGCUAGGGUAUAAUGCCUUUGAUUCAUGAGUAGUUUUGCUGGAAUAAAGCUGCUUCAUAUCAAACACAAUAUUUAGAAAACAAUACCUACGAUUUCUUGGAACGGAAUCUUCUCAUCCAUCCCCUCCCUGUUUUACACAGAAGAAUAGGAAAACAUUGAGGGUUUUUUUUCCCUCUGUUUCUCCAAGACAAACAAACAAACAAACAAAAAAAAACCCCAAACAAACAAACAAACAAACCUGUAGCUGGAACAAGGAAAGAUGCUCCAAAAAUCUGGGUGAAACAUGCCAGAUGGAAAGAUUUUAUGCUGUGACCAACAUGCCAAAGAAGAGCGAUGUUAUGCUAACAAAUUAAGAAGAGGUCUGGAUGAGAUAAUGUAGGCUAGAUAGCUUGCCGCAGCUGGGCGAACGACCAUGAAGACAGUCACAGGACUAAUCUGGCAUGACAUUAAAGCACAAACUGUAACUAUUCUGGGCAAUUU